AACGAACGCUGGCGGCAUGCCUAACACAUGCAAGUCGAACGGGAUCCUAGCUUGCUAGGUGAGAGUGGCGGACGGGUGAGUAACACGUGGGAAUCUGCCUUUUGGUUCGGGAUAACCGCGGGAAACUGCGGCUAAUACCGAAUGCCCUCGAGAGAGGAAAGAUUUAUCGCCAGAAGAGGAGCCCGCGUCCGAUUAGGUAGUUGGUGGGGUAAAAGGCCUACCAAGCCGACGAUCGGUAGCUGGUCUGAGAGGAUGAUCAGCCACACUGGGACUGAGAUACGGCCCAGACUCCUACGGGAGGCAGCAGUGGGGAAUAUUGGACAAUGGGGGCAACCCUGAUCCAGGCAAUGCCGCGU
rnacentral:rRNA from 1 species